rnacentral:lncRNA from 1 species
AGUUAGGCUCGAAUCAGAGUGGUAACGAGAAAGUUACGAAAGUUAGAAUGUAACUGGGCCAUAAUAAGGAAACAAAAAUCUAAGCCAAUCAUUUAGGUUCCCAUCUUGUUUGGUCCAAUUAACAUUUGGGCUUAAAUUGUUUUUGGAAACCAAUUGCACACCCAUUCUUUCCCUUGCCCAAUCCAGAUGUGCACAUACCUAAAAAUCCCUUCUUUUUCUAUCCUUGUUGGACAAUCACAAGCUCACACACCCAUACACUCAUACGUAACCCUCCUUCUCU